rnacentral:tRNA from 1 species
CGGGGUAUGGCCUAAUUGGCUAGGGCGCCUGCUUUGGGAGCAGGAGAUUCUGGGUUCAAGUCCCAGUACCCCGACCA